AUUGAACGCUGGCGGCAGGCCUAACACAUGCAAGUCGAACGAGUGGCGGACGGAUGAGUAAUGUCUGGGCAACUGCCUGAUGGAGGGGGAUCACUACUGGAAACGGUAGCUAAUACCGCAUACCAUCAGAUGUGCCCAGAUGGGAUUAGCUAGUUGGUGGGGUAACGGCUCACCAGGGCGACGAGCCCUAGCUGGUCUGAGAGGAUGAACAGCCAAACUGGAACUGAGACACGGGCCAGAUUCCGACGGGAGGCAGCAGGGGGGAAUAUUGGACAAUGGGCGCAAGCCUGAUGCAGCCAUGCCGCGUGUAUGAAGAAGGCCUUCGGGUUGUAAAGUACUUUCAGCGGGGAGGCGGUACCCGCAGAAGAAGCACCGGCUAACUCCGUGCCAGCAGCCGCGGUAAUUC
rnacentral:rRNA from 1 species